GGGGUCUUAGCUCAAUUGGUAGAGCAUUUGCUUUGCAAGCAAGAGGUUAGGGGUUCGAUUCCCCUAGAUUCCA
rnacentral:tRNA from 2 species